rnacentral:lncRNA from 10 species
CUUCAUUGUCCCACAUUGAAUGUGUACACAUUCAAAGAUAUUCUUCUGCAGCAUUUAAUUAUUCAUUUAUCCAUGGGACAUAUUUAGUCCCUAGAGCAGGUCUGCAUUAAGAUAGGUAGAACCAGCUGCACUGGGAACAUGCACCAGGAUAUGCCUGAUCCUAGAGGAAACAAAUCUCUGCCACCAGCUCCUCUCACCACCCCCUCAAAAGGGUUACCAGGCUGGUUGGAUGUAUAUUUUAGGAAGUCAGAAAAUUGCUAUUCUGUCACGCAAUCGAGUCCAGGUGAAGACAAAAAUGGAACCCUAUAUAUUAUAUGAGUCCCUGGAUCCAAGCAUACCAGAAUCAAACU